CCUACGGGUGGCAGCAGUGGGGAAUAUUGGACAAUGGGCGCAAGCCUGAUCCAGCCAUGCCGCGUGAGUGAUGAAGGCCCUAGGGUUGUAAAGCUCUUUCGACGGGGACGAUAAUGACGGUACCCGUAUAAGAAGCCCCGGCUAACUUCGUGCCAGCAGCCGCGGUAAUACGAAGGGGGCUAGCGUUGCUCGGAAUCACUGGGCGUAAAGCGCACGUAGGCGGACUUUUAAGUCGGAGGUGAAAUCCCAAGGCUCAACCUUGGAACUGCCUUCGAUACUGAAAGUCUUGAGUCCGGAAGAGGUGAGUGGAACUCCGAGUGUAGAGGUGAAAUUCGUAGAUAUUCGGAAGAACACCAGUGGCGAAGGCGGCUCACUGGUCCGGUACUGACGCUGAGGUGCGAAAGCGUGGGGAGCAAACAGGAUUAGAUACCCUUGUAGUC
rnacentral:rRNA from 1 species